GCUAAAACAUAAAACUUUUAUCAUAAGAUAUUAUUUUCUAAAACUCAGGCAAUAGAUCCUGUAAGACAAUUGACUAUUGCUACUAUAGCCUAUACAUUCUUUAAACGCGUGGUUGAACGAUUUGGCUUUGCAGUUUAGUCAAAAUAGCGGUCUAAAACUUGAUCACGGGAUUUUCUAGAAUUUGAACAGCAAACAAAUUUAUUUAUUUUCUUCACAACUGAAUUUUGGCCUGAAUAAGUAACACGUUUUUUAACGUUUGACAGACAAGAUUUUGUUCUAAAGGUUUUGUCUAGGUGGAGAGCCAGUGCCUCGUAGAAUGACGUCAAUAUCGAUAAACGGAAAACGCACCCCGGAGCGCUAUUGUAAGGAUCUUUCUCUCCGCUGAUACCCGGCCGGAGCGCGGCUGGACCCGAACUGCCUCCCCGAGGAACUCCUGCUGGAAUGGUUUGAGUGCGCAGAGCGCAGCAGAGGACUACUGUUUCAGUUGUGGGAAUUAUUGCACUCUUCUCAUGUUGCUCCGAACACACCUGCCAAAAGAACAAUGAUGAUAAAGUGUAGACAAGCCGGAUCAAGCCGAAAUAAAUAUCAGUUCACUAUUUAAAUGACAGCAUUUCCGACCUGCACAUCACUCCUCAUUCAGUCAUUGAAACAGUAAUAUCACACGCACACACAAGAACUGCAUAACCAGCAUUUCUUCCUCAGGCUGGAUUUGCCAGUCUUUCACACCUGAUUUAGCAUGAUGAAAACUUGAAGAGAAUGAGAAAAAUCUUACCUUUCAGUACUUGCUCUUUCUUGAACGCACAGGUGUAGAUCAAUCAGGCCAAACUAAACAUGAUAGCAGGAUUCUGAAACACAUUUAAGUCCAAUUUACACAGGCAUUUUACAACAUUUCAUUUAAUGAAGUUAGCGAGAGGUCACACAUUCAAAGGAAGAAGAAGAAGUGUUCACAUUUUACAAAUGCUCACACUGCGGCUGACGGACACACAACACAAGAGCCGAUUUCAGAGAAUCGUGUUACCCGACCAAGCUUGAAGGAGCACAAGAGAGCUGUAAUUUAGUUUGUUGUUGUCACUUUGAAUAAGGUUGCUUUCUCCUUUGUCUGGAAUGAAUACUGAACUCAAUGACCAGAACAACACAACGUUUGAGUUAGUUUAAAAUGCAGUGUAUGUGUGAGACAGAGAAUGAUUCAUGUCUUCUAAGGGCACAUCAUCUGUAGUGGAAGUAUGACUGGAUGCACACAUUAAACGCUCAGAUUCCUUGCGUGAGAACAGCAAGGCAACACAAAUGAAACAGCCUGCAGGUUAGACUCUUUCCAGUGCAAACAAUGUCAUGUGCACAUAAGGAACUGUACUUCACAUAAAACAUUCAGAACGAUCAAUUUCUUUAGCUUUCAAUACAUUCAUCAAAAUCCACCAACCAUCUUCAAUUGUCAUUGAAUCAUUCUCAUUAAAACGUAUGGAGCUGUAGAGAUUACAGUAAGCGUUUUAAAGUUCAUUGGGGAAAAAAUAGGCAUAAUGAUGAAUUUUACUGAUCAGAGAUGUCUGAAGUUCCUCGAACUAUCCAUCCAGAUUUGGAAAUCAAUUCACUUUUUCUUCUUCUUUGAAAACAGCCCUACAGCUUUGGAACGACACGUGAGGGUUAGUAAAUACUAUAUCAGAAUCCUUUAAAUUGACCUCGCAUAUUAAAAUGCAGGAUGAGACCAUGUGCUGGUUUGAUGAUGCCAUGAUCAUGAUAUAGUCAUUCACACAUGAAGGUAAAAAUAAAUUUAGAGUGGCAAGAGACAUGCAUGUUCAUAUAUCCUUUAUAUAAUGUAUAUCAACCUAAAUCUAAUACAGCAUCAAACUUAAAAAGGGAAAAAUAAAUGGAGAAAAAUAAACAUUAGCAAAAUGAGAUUAAAACCAAGUAUCAUCAAUUUGGGUAUCGGGAAGAAGCCGGGCUCUGAGGGGAUGAUGAGCCACGCUGAGAGCCAGGUACUCUGAGAACCUUGGGAAAGGAAAUGGUCCAGCGUUCUCCAGGAAAUGUCUCUUUUUAUAUGACUUUUAUUUAUUUGUCAUUUUUAAAUUGAUUUUUUUUUUCUCUCUCAUUUCAACACAAAACAUCUCUAAAGAGCAGCCGUCGUGAGAAGUUCA